rnacentral:rRNA from 1 species
UACGUAGGGGGCAAGCGUUGUCCGGAAUCAUUGGGCGUAAAGAGCGUGUAGGCGGUUCGAUAAGUCUGCUGUGAAAGUCCAGGGCUCAACCCUGGGAUGCCGGUGGAUACUGUCGAGCUAGAGUACGGAAGAGGCGAGUGGAAUUCCCGGUGUAGCGGUGAAAUGCGCAGAUAUCGGGAGGAACACCAAUUGCGAAGGCAGCUCGCUGGGACGUCACUGACGCUGAGACGCGAAAGCGUGGGGAGCAAACAGG